UAGGGAAUCUUCGGCAAUGGGGGGAACCCUGACCGAGCAACGCCGCGUGAGUGAAGAAGGUUUUCGGAUCGUAAAGCUCUGUUGUUAAGGAAGAACGAGUGUGAGAAUGGAAAGUUCAUGCUGUGACGGUACUUAACCAGAAAGGGACGGCUAACUACGUGCCAGCAGCCGCGGUAAUACGUUGGUCCCGAGCGUUGUCCGGAUUUAUUGGGCGUAAAGCGAGCGCAGGCGGUUAGAAAAGUCUGAAGUGAAAGGCAGUGGCUCAACCAUUGUAGGCUUUGGAAACUGUUUAACUUGAGUGCAGAAGGGGAGAGUGGAAUUCCAUGUGUAGCGGUGAAAUGCGUAGAUAUAUGGAGGAACACCGGUGGCGAAAGCGGCUCUCUGGUCUGUAACUGACGCUGAGGCUCGAAAGCGUGGGGAGCGAACAGG
rnacentral:rRNA from 1 species